rnacentral:sRNA from 1 species
AUCGGUUUGGAAGUACAGGCCUAUUUAUGCUAGUCAGUUUAAAGUUGUUCACCAUUUAGCGUUAUCUAAGAUACCUCUUCAUUGCGAAUUCCUUCUAAUUAAUUCCCAUAAGUAAAAAUAAAAAACAAACCUUACCUAUGCCUUAUGGCAAACUUAAAAAUUAAAGGAAAUUCUAUGUCUAAUUCAAUGAUUGGUUUAGUAAAAUGGUUUAACGAAUCUAAAGGUUUUGGUUUUAUCUCUCCUGAAGACGGAAGCAAAGAUGUUUUUGUGCAUUUUUCAGCUAUCCAAAGUGAUGAUUUUAAAACUUUAUAUGAUGGGCAAAAAGUAAGCUUCUCAUUAGAGACUGGCGCAAAAGGCCCAGCAGCAGCUAACGUAGUGGCGCUUUAAAAACAUUAUAAAAAUUCGCUUCUAUUACAAGUGCCCAUGUUGUAACG